rnacentral:rRNA from 1 species
GACGAACGCUGGCGGCGUGCUUAACACAUGCAAGUCGAACGGAAAGGCCCUGCUUUUGUUGGGUGCUCGAGUGGCGAACGGGUGAGUAACACGUGAGUAACCUGCCCUUGACUUUGGGAUAACUUCAGGAAACUGGGGCUAAUACCGGAUAGGAGCUCCUGCUGCAUGGUGGGGGUUGGAGAGUUUCGGCGGUUGGGGAUGGACUCGCGGCUUAUCAGCUUGUUGGUGGGGUAGUGGCUUACCAAGGCGUUGACGGGUAGCCGGCCUGAGAGGGUGACCGGCCACAUUGGGACUGAGAUACGGCCCAGACUCCUACGGGAGGCAGCAGUGGGGAAUAUUGCACAAUGGGCGGAAGCCUGAUGCAGCAACGCCGCGUGCGGGAUGACGGCCUUCGGGUUGUAAACCGCUUUCGCCUGUGACGAAGCGUGAGUGACGGUAAUGGGUAAAGAAGCACCGGCUAACUACGUG